CCUACGGGUGGCAGCAGUAGGGAAUCUUCGGCAAUGGGGGCAACCCUGACCGAGCAACGCCGCGUGAGUGAAGAAGGUUUUCGGAUCGUAAAGCUCUGUUGUAAGAGAAGCGGUAACUUACCAGAAAGGGACGGCUAACUACGUGCCAGCAGCCGCGGUAAUACGUAGGUCCCGAGCGUUAUCCGGAUUUAUUGGGCGUAAAGCGAGCGCAGGCGGUUAGAUAAGUCUGAAGUUAAAGGCUGUGGCUUAACCAUAGUACGCUUUGGAAACUGUUUAACUUGAGUGCAGAAGGGGAGAGUGGAAUUCCAUGUGUAGCGGUGAAAUGCGUAGAUAUAUGGAGGAACACCGGUGGCGAAAGCGGCUCUCUGGUCUGUACUGACGCUGAGGCUCGAAAGCGUGGGGAGCAAACAGGAUUAGAUACCCUUGUAGUC
rnacentral:rRNA from 1 species